GAUGAACGCUGGCGGCGUGCUUAACACAUGCAAGUCGAACGAUGAAGCCCAGCUUGCUGGGUGGAUUAGUGGCGAACGGGUGAGUAACACGUGAGUAACCUGCCCUUGACUCUGGGAUAAGCCUGGGAAACUGGGUCUAAUACUGGAUAUGACUUCUCAUCGCAUGGUGGGGGGUGGAAAGAUUUAUUGGUCUUGGAUGGACUCGCGGCCUAUCAGCUUGUUGGUGAGGUAAUGGCUCACCAAGGCGACGACGGGUAGCCGGCCUGAGAGGGUGACCGGCCACACUGGGACUGGGACACGGCCCAGACUCCUACGGGAGGCAGCAGUGGGGAAUAUUGCACAAUGGGCGCAAGCCUGAUGCAGCGACGCCGCGUGAGGGAUGACGGCCUUCGGGUUGUAAACCUCUUUCAGUAGGGAAGAAGCGAGAGUGACGGUACCUGCAGAAGAAGCGCCGGCUAACUACGUG
rnacentral:rRNA from 1 species